AACAUAUUUGACAAUCCUUGGAAUAGGUUGGUACCUUUUCUUUUUUCUUUCUUCCAUAUCUGUUAGGUAAAGUUCUAUUUUUUUUUUCUUAAAAAAGGGGUUGUGGUAAAUACCAUUUAAUAACCUUACACCCAUCCAUACAACGCCAUACCAUUGCCACACUUACCCCGCCAUGGGCAUAUUUCUCUCUAAAGAGCCCCACAGGCCACCACUGUCACUUUCUUUAUUCACUAACGCCGCAACACUAUAUUGUUAGUUAUAUUUAUAACCCCAUUCCCGUAAAUUGCAUUACAUGAAGAAUGCCAAUACUAUUUCCAGUUGUACUCAGCCAAUAGUUUGGUAGGAUCUGUAACAUCACAUCCUCCAGAUAAGGUAAGGACCUGGUGAGAGAGAGAUGUCAAUAAUCUUAAAAAUGUCAUAGUGCAGGCAAAUAUAACAGUGCAUAAAUACCUUAUAAAAUUGUCGUGAUUGGUGUCCAAGUGGCGACGGGGCUUGGGUGAUUCUGUCGUAUUGCUUGGGGUUUUAUAAUUGUUGAUUAGAGGAAACGUCACCAAGGUGUCUGUGUCUUUUGUCAUUUUUUGUUUAGUUUUGGGUUUUUGAUCUACAUAAAUGAAUAGAAGAGGUGGAGAGAUAGAGAGAACGAUAAAUUGGAUAUUUGGGUAAUGUAGAACGCAGAUGAGGUCUUAGGUGGGGGAUCGUGGUGGAUAAGAUCGUGGCGGAUCCUCAUUUUCCUUGGAGGCACAGAAGAGAUUAGGCAUUUGAUGGUUGUAAUGAAAAAGAUAGCAUAAUGAUAUUAAGCUAUUCCUUAUAUCCUCUGAAAAUGGAGUUGAACUUAUAAGCUACCUAUGCUGGAAACCUUUUUCUGGUUAGAAAAUUGAAAAGAAAUUCUCAUAGGGUAGAAUACUUUGCAUCUUAAGUAUCAUCAUUGAUUGGAGAAACUAUUUUCAGAGGCUUUUGCUUAUUGAAAAGAGGGCAUGGCCUGUGCUUUGGGCAGCUAGUGGAGCUGGUGACAAGAAACUAUACAAAAGAACAAUUUUGGAAGUUUUAUUAGGGGCAUGUCUGAUCUAUUGUCACACAUUGUUGACGUAACAAUUCAUGACAGUACAAAAUCAUCCGAGUCAGCUAUGGUUUGCGUCCACAAAUGAGAAUCAUAUUUAAGUGCCAGCAUACCAAGCAGACAAAAAGUUUAUUGGCCUGAUAUAAGAUUGCUAGAGGGAAAGAAAAUAAAAAAAGGAAAAAAAAAAAAAGGGGGAGAAUAUAUCAACUUGUUAACUUUUAAGGAUGCCACUUAAUGAGUUUUCUCUCUGCAGCCGCCUUCUUGAUGGUUUCCAGGAACAAGUAGCUUUCGACUGACACCCUCUUUUAUGCAUGAAAAAACAAAGAGGUACGACAAGUUCCAAUACUAGAAGAGUCUGAUCGUUAUGAGUUCAUGUUAAUAUAGUGAGGCCGAAUUUACCUUUUUCUGACUUAAAUCCAGAGGCAUUAUAGCUGUCCACAUGCUUGGAUUUGAGAUUCAAGUUUAACGUGUAUUGCUCCGUAACUUGUUUAAUUAUUGAGUGGUCUUCAAAUUCGAUAACUGUCACUGCAUCUGGCUAUUACAAGAAAGACACCUAUUAUGAUGCUGUUUUGCAUGAGUAGUCUUGCUGUCUAUCAUGAACUGUGCAUCCAUGUGCAUAAUGUAGAACCUUUCCAGUAAAACUUGCCACUGUGAUGCUUGUGCCAUUGGCUCUUGUCAAACCUAAGUCACUUUUGUUUCUUUUUUCCAUAACGCAGCAUAAUUUUGCAAUGUUCUUUGCAGGGCACCAUCUCAUCAACCAAAAAAUUACUUACACAAAAUUCCUUCCGUUUAGAAGUUUCUAAGCUUUGCAAAUAAACGCCCCCUUUCAGGCUCUGUGUUGACCUCUGGUUAGGCAAGUGAACUGGUUCCGGAAUCGGAGCUGCAGGUGUAAUCCGUGUAUGCAAUCAAACGCUGUAUGCCCAUU
rnacentral:lncRNA from 1 species